UUUCUGUAACAGCUAAACUUACUAUGACGUACCCUGAGCAAAGAUCUUUUUACCUUGUCUAGCAUAGAAUAAACAAAAAAUAAAAUGUGCUAGGGUAUCUUUUUAAUUAGAGACCACUGGAUUACAGAGGAGCAAGCACAGGCACAGAAUUUUGAGAUGAAAUACAGGACUAAAGGAUGCUUUGAUGGAAUGGAUUUCCCCUGUUCUUUUUUGUGUCUGCUGGAUAUACAAGCUCUGUCAUGACCAGAAGACCGGACGUAUGAAAUUCUAGUUCAUUAAUUAUGUGAGACAGAGGAUGCAGUGGAAGCAAGUGGUAGGAAGCUGGAGGCAGACUUUGAAGGUAAUAAUGGGCAUAAAAGUGGUGAGUGGGAGACGUGACGCAUACCAGUGAACUGUGAACAAUGACAGCAAGUUGAACUGUGGCUUGGCGACCAUCCUUGUGACCGAACUCUUGAGAUCUGAAUCCAGAACAGUAGAAGAUUAAAGAAGAUAUCAUAGUCCCUUGAGAUCUUUUUGCCAUUUUUCUUCAAGAUGUCUAGAAGUGGUUUCUGAACUUGAUUUCAGAUCUAAAUUUGGUUCUACUUUAUGCAGAACUUUUUUUGGUUCUACUAAAUCACAUGGUUGCUUGUGCUGUCACUGCUGUGGCUCUGGACUGGAAAAGUGCAGGAACUGAUAACCAGCUUAUUUACAUUGCAUUUCUUACCAUAUUAUCUGAGCACUUCACAGCCUCUAUACUUUCAAAAAUUAUGAAAGAUCUAGUUGUACUUUAAUGCCCAUUUAAAAACUAGGGAGCUGAGGUAAUGAUAAACUUGCACUUCUUUACUCCUUCAGUCCCUCAGAGAUGUGCUGCAGCUUUUUUAUUGUGGCUUGUUGAUAAACAGAGCAUUUUUUCCAUUUGUGACUAUCUUCUGUUCUUUGAGCUAUAUGUUUUUAACAAAACAGAUAAAAUGUAUGAGCUAUUUUCUUUGUAAUCCAGAUGAAAUUUAUUGUUUAACCUUAUUGAUAAGAUUAUUAUGGUGACUGGAUACAGGAGACUGAAUUCAUCCGUAGUCCAACUCCACAAGAACCAAAUUUGAGUUAGGUUGGGUGAGUGCGUGUAUCUGUGUGUAUAUAUUUUAUGUAUACAAUCUGUAUAUUUGGGGCCAUAAUGAAAGGCACAUUCUGGGUUACUGUGGUUUCUCUGUAUCCCUGCCAGGCAUACUAAUGCUCCACCUUCUGCAAUCAGAGCAUUUCUCAGGACUCUCAAUAAAGUGGCAUAUUUGUAUGCAAAGUCAUUGAGAGCUGCCAACAUCAUGAUGACAUGAUUCAUCGUUUUUGCUGAUUCUCAAGGCAUUUUUUGCAUAAAGAAGCCUUUGAGAACUGAGCAGAAUCUCAUUCUUCCAUUCAGGACUGGCUGUCAUGGCACUGCAGACAGCUUUUGUGUUCACUAAGCCGAUUUCUUUCACAGGGUAAAGUUCCCAUUGGGGAAAGUGGUUGCCAGGAUACACAUGCCAGCUCCAGCAGGAUGCAACCAUGCUUUGCUUAGGCAGAAAGAGUGCAGGUGAAGGCACUCUUAGUUACACCUGAUAGAUCAUUUUAUGAUCAAGUUCUCCUAAGCCUUAAGAAACAGCUUUUGGCUUUUUUGUUUUGUUUGACCUUUACAAAAAGGAGAGCUCAUAUUAAGCCUAGGACCUUCUUCCAUUGUUAGUGUCCUGAACACUGAAUGUUCACAGAGCUCCAGCAUAUUUAACAAUAGCUCACUGUCUGUUGGCAUUUCCUGUUUACAGCUGGAAUGGAUGUUCUGUGAUGGCCAAGCAGCUUGUCAGUGUGCCUCUGAUUUUUCAUUGGGCAAUUAUUCUUGAAUUAUUCCUUUCCUCAGUUAGGGUGCUUGUUCGCUUUUCAGCGUGUGGGGGAUUUGCUCUAUUAUGUGAAUUUCAGUAGUGCUGAAGACUGGCACACUCACUACCCCCAAAUCCCCUCUUUAAGUUACUAGGGAGACAGCCUAAAUUCUUUUAGCCUGAUCAAUCAAUGUGCUCUUUCCUGGAGAGUCUUUUUUUUUUUUUUUUUUUUUUUUUUUUUUUUUUUUUUUUUUUUUUUUUUUU